AAACAUGUCAAUGCGGGAAACCGCGAACAGGGAGUCCAAGUGCUUGCACUUUGUGUAAGCUGUUCGGUGUCU
rnacentral:rRNA from 1 species